rnacentral:tRNA from 1 species
GGGAUUGUGGCUCAGUGGCAGAGCGCUUGUCUCAAGUGUAUGAUGCACUGGGUUCAAUCCUCAGCACCA